UACGAGGGGGGCAAGCGUUGUUCGGAAUUAUUGGGCGUAAAGGGAGCGUAGGCGGGCUACCAAGUCUGGGGUGAAAUGCCGCGGCUCAACCGUGGAACUGCCUUAGAUACUGACGGCCUCGAGGGAGAUAGGGGCAUGCGGAACUGUAGGUGGAGCGGUGAAAUGCGUUGAUAUCUACAGGAACUCCGGUGGCGAAAGCGGCGUGCUGGAUCUCUUCUGACGCUGAGGCUCGAAAGCUAGGGGAGCAAGCGGG
rnacentral:rRNA from 1 species